rnacentral:rRNA from 1 species
UCAAGUGAAGAAGCGCAUACGGUGGAUGCCUUGGCAGUCAGAGGCGAUGAAAGACGUGGUAGCCUGCGAAAAGCUUCGGGGAGUCGGCAAACAGACUGUGAUCCGGAGAUGUCUGAAUGGGGGAACCCAGCCAUCAUAAGAUGGUUAUCUUGUACUGAAUACAUAGGUGCAAGNNNNNNNNNNNNNNNNNNNNNNNNNNNNGGCCAUAGUGGGUGAUAGCCCUGUACGCGAAAAUCCCUUUGCAAUGAAAUCGAGUAGGACGGGGCACGAGAAACCUUGUCUGAAUAUGGGGGGACCAUCCUCCAAGGCUAAAUACUACUGACUGACCGAUAGUGAACCAGUACCGUGAGGGAAAGGCGAAAAGAACCGCGGAGAGCGGAGUGAAAUAGAUCCUGAAACCGUAUGCGUACAAGCAGUGGGAGCCCACUUUGUUGGGUGACUGCGUACCUUUUGUAUAAUGGGUCAGCGACUUAUUUUCAGUGGCGAGCUUAACCGAAUAGGGGAGGCGUAGCGAAAGCGAGUCUUAAUAGGGCGUCUAGUCGCUGGGAAUAGACCCGAAACCGGGCGAUCUAUCCAUGGGCAGGUUGAAGGUUGGGUAACACUAACUGGAGGACCGAACCGACUACCGUUGAAAAGUUAGCGGAUGACCUGUGGAUCGGAGUGAAAGGCUAAUCAAGCUCGGAGAUAGCUGGUUCUCCUCGAAAGCUAUUUAGGUAGCGCCUCAUGUAUCACUGUAGGGGGUAGAGCACUGUUUCGGCUAGGGGGUCAUCCCGACUUACCAAACCGAUGCAAACUCCGAAUACCUACAAGUGCCGAGCAUGGGAGACACACGGCGGGUGCUAACGUCCGUCGUGAAAAGGGAAACAACCCAGACCGUCAGCUAAGGUCCCAAAGUCAUGGUUAAGUGGGAAACGAUGUGGGAAGGCUUAGACAGCUAGGAGGUUGGCUUAGAAGCAGCCACCCUUUAAAGAAAGCGUAAUAGCUCACUAGUCGAGUCGGCCUGCGCGGAAGAUGUAACGGGGCUCAAACCAUGCACCGAAGCUACGGGUAUCAUCUUUUGAUGAUGCGGUAGAGGAGCGUUCUGUAAGCCUGUGAAGGUGAGUUGAGAAGCUUGCUGGAGGUAUCAGAAGUGCGAAUGCUGACAUGAGUAACGACAAUGGGUGUGAAAAACACCCACGCCGAAAGACCAAGGUUUCCUGCGCAACGUUAAUCGACGCAGGGUUAGUCGGUCCCUAAGGCGAGGCUGAAAAGCGUAGUCGAUGGAAAACAGGUUAAUAUUCCUGUACUUCUGGUUAUUGCGAUGGAGGGACGGAGAAGGCUAGGCCAGCCUGGCGUUGGUUGUCCAGGUUUAAGGUGGUAGGCUGAGAUCUUAGGUAAAUCCGGGAUCUCAAGGCCGAGAGCUGAUGACGAGUGUUCUUUAGAACACGAAGUGGUUGAUGCCAUGCUUCCAAGAAAAGCUUCUAAGCUUCAGGUAACCAGGAACCGUACCCCAAACCGACACAGGUGGUUGGGUAGAGAAUACCAAGGCGCUUGAGAGAACUCGGGUGAAGGAACUAGGCAAAAUGGCACCGUAACUUCGGGAGAAGGUGCGCCGGUGAGGGUGAAGCAUUUACUGCGUAAGCCCACGCCGGUCGAAGAUACCAGGCCGCUGCGACUGUUUAUUAAAAACACAGCACUCUGCAAACACGAAAGUGGACGUAUAGGGUGUGACGCCUGCCCGGUGCCGGAAGGUUAAUUGAUGGGGUUAGCGCAAGCGAAGCUCUUGAUCGAAGCCCCGGUAAACGGCGGCCGUAACUAUAACGGUCCUAAGGUAGCGAAAUUCCUUGUCGGGUAAGUUCCGACCUGCACGAAUGGCGUAACGAUGGCGGCGCUGUCUCCACCCGAGACUCAGUGAAAUUGAAAUCGCUGUGAAGAUGCAGUGUAUCCGCGGCUAGACGGAAAGACCCCGUGAACCUUUACUAUAGCUUUGCACUGGACUUUGAAUUUGCUUGUGUAGGAUAGGUGGGAGGCUUUGAAGCGUGGACGCCAGUCUGCGUGGAGCCAACCUUGAAAUACCACCCUGGCAACUUUGAGGUUCUAACUCAGGUCCGUUAUCCGGAUCGAGGACAGUGUAUGGUGGGUAGUUUGACUGGGGCGGUCUCCUCCUAAAGAGUAACGGAGGAGUACGAAGGUGCGCUCAGACCGGUCGGAAAUCGGUCGUAGAGUAUAAAGGCAAAAGCGCGCUUGACUGCGAGACAGACACGUCGAGCAGGUACGAAAGUAGGUCUUAGUGAUCCGGUGGUUCUGUAUGGAAGGGCCAUCGCUCAACGGAUAAAAGGUACUCCGGGGAUAACAGGCUGAUACCGCCCAAGAGUUCAUAUCGACGGCGGUGUUUGGCACCUCGAUGUCGGCUCAUCACAUCCUGGGGCUGAAGCCGGUCCCAAGGGUAUGGCUGUUCGCCAUUUAAAGUGGUACGCGAGCUGGGUUUAGAACGUCGUGAGACAGUUCGGUCCCUAUCUGCCGUGGACGUUUGAGAUUUGAGAGGGGCUGCUCCUAGUACGAGAGGACCGGAGUGGACGAACCUCUGGUGUUCCGGUUGUCACGCCAGUGGCAUUGCCGGGUAGCUAUGUUCGGAAAAGAUAACCGCUGAAAGCAUCUAAGCGGGAAACUUGCCUCAAGAUGAGAUCUCACUGGAACCUUGAGUUCCCUAAAGGGCCGUCGAAGACUACGACGUUGAUAGGUUGGGUGUGUAAGCGCUGUGAGGCGUUGAGCUAACCAAUACUAAUUGCCCGUGAGGCUUGACCAU